AUGCCUAUGUGGCAGCCGGAGAUGUACAACAACGGCGGAGGAGGUGGAGGGUAUGGAUGCAAAGUAAGGGAGAGAAGGUUGGAGUGGAAGGAAAUGGGAUCGAGAGGGGGGUUGGGUGGGCCGGGGGUAUCGAAGUCCUAUGUUUCGAGUAUCCGGACUCCUGCAAACUUCCCCAACUUUGUCUCUAAUUUGCGGGAGAAAUUGCGUCCGACUGCCCCGCGGACCUAUACAGGUCGGUGUUGGAUGGCUUCUGCGGUCCGUACAGCGCGGUCCGGACGGAUGCAGGCGGUUUGCGGGUCAGCUUUGAAGAUGCCCUUAGGUGAUGCUUCUUUCCUCGCCACGUGGAUUUUGAUGACUAACAAUCAUGCAUUUUGUAGUUUCAAGAUAGACCUUUCUCACAUCGUCGUGCUCAUUUACGACGGCUUUCGAUUUGGCAUGUUUCUUCAUACCGGAACACCUGCAAGGGUCACGACGGGAAGAAAGUUGCUCGUUGAGUCAUCCUGGCUAGUGUUAGGUCGCAGGAGGAGAUCCGAUUGGGCCCCAUGGGGCGCCAAUCCUCGACGAAUAAUGGUCCGCCGAUCUUAUGCGCCAACCUCUGAACCUCCAGCUCGCGCUCUCCUUUGCUGUACCUGGUGA
rnacentral:rRNA from 1 species